rnacentral:rRNA from 1 species
AGAGUUUGAUCCUGGCUCAGGAUGAACGCUGGCGGCGUGCUUAACACAUGCAAGUCGAACGAAGCAUUUACGACAGAUUUCUUCGGAUUGAAGUUGUUUAUGACUGAGUGGCGGACGGGUGAGUAACGCGUGGGUAACCUGCCUCAUACAGGGGGAUAGCAGCUGGAAACGGCUGGUAAUACCGCAUAAGCGCACGGUAUCGCAUGAUACAGUGUGAAAAACUCCGGUGGUAUGAGAUGGACCCGCGUCUGAUUAGCUGGUUGGUGAGGUAACGGCCCACCAAGGCGACGAUCAGUAGCCGACCUGAGAGGGUGACCGGCCACAUUGGGACUGAGACACGGCCCAAACUCCUACGGGAGGCAGCAGUGGGGAAUAUUGCACAAUGGGGGAAACCCUGAUGCAGCGACGCCGCGUGGAGGAAGAAGGUCUUCGGAUUGUAAACUCCUGUUGUUGAGGAAGAUAAUGACGGUACUCAACAAGGAAGUGACGGCUAACUACGUGCCAGCAGCCGCGGUAAAACGUAGGUCACAAGCGUUGUCCGGAAUUACUGGGUGUAAAGGGAGCGCAGGCGGGAAGACAAGUUGGAAGUGAAAUCCAUGGGCUCAACCCAUGAACUGCUUUCAAAACUGUUUUUCUUGAGUAGUGCAGAGGUAGGCGGAAUUCCCGGUGUAGCGGUGGAAUGCGUAGAUAUCGGGAGGAACACCAGUGGCGAAGGCGGCCUACUGGGCACCAACUGACGCUGAGGCUCGAAAGUGUGGGUAGCAAACAGGAUUAGAUACCCUGGUAGUCCACACCGUAAACGAUGAUUACUAGGUGUUGGAGGAUUGACCCCUUCAGUGCCGCAGUUAACACAAUAAGUAAUCCACCUGGGGAGUACGACCGCAAGGUUGAAACUCAAAGGAAUUGACGGGGGCCCGCACAAGCAGUGGAGUAUGUGGUUUAAUUCGACGCAACGCGAAGAACCUUACCAAGUCUUGACAUCCUGCGACGCACAUAGAAAUAUGUGUUUCCUUCGGGACGCAGAGACAGGUGGUGCAUGGUUGUCGUCAGCUCGUGUCGUGAGAUGUUGGGUU